rnacentral:tRNA from 1 species
AAGACUUUAAGUUAACUUAAACUGUAAGCCUUCAAAGCUUUUAAUGGGACUACCCAAGUCUUG